rnacentral:rRNA from 1 species
UACGUAGGGGGCGAGCGUUGUCCGGAUUUAUUGGGCGUAAAGAGCUCGUAGGCGGUUUGGAAAGUCGGGUGUGAAAACUCCGGGCUCAACUCGGAGACGCCACUCGAUACUGCCAUGACUAGAGUCCGGAAGGGGCGAGUGGAAUUCCUGGUGUAGCGGUGAAAUGCGCAGAUAUCAGGAGGAACACCAAUGGCGAAGGCAGCUCGCUGGAACGGUACUGACGCUGAGGCGCGAAAGCGUGGGGAGCAAACAGG